GACGAACGCUGGCGGCGUGCUUAACACAUGCAAGUCGAACGGAAAGGCCCUGCUUGCAGGGUACUCGAGUGGCGAACGGGUGAGUAACACGUGGGUGAUCUGCCCUGCACUUCGGGAUAAGCCUGGGAAACUGGGUCUAAUACCGGCUAGGAGCCAUUUUUAGUGUGAUGGUUGGAAAGUUUAUUCGGUGUAGGAUGAGCUCGCGGCCUAUCAGCUUGUUUGUGGGGUAAUGGCCUACCAAGGCGGCGACGGGUAGCCGGCCUGGGAGGGUGGACGGCACAAUUUGGACUGGGGAACGGCCCAGACUCCCACGGGAGGCAGCAGGGGGGAAUAUUGCACAAAGGGCGCAAGCCUGAUGCAGCGACGCCGCGUGGGGGAUGACGGCCUUCGGGUUGUAAACUCCUUUCGCUAGGGACGAAGCUUUUUGUGACGGUACCUAGAGAAGAAGCACCGGCUAACUACGUG
rnacentral:rRNA from 1 species